rnacentral:rRNA from 1 species
UACGUAGGGGGCAAGCGUUGUCCGGAAUCAUUGGGCGUAAAGAGCGCGUAGGCGGCCCUGUAAGUCCGCUGUGAAAGUCAAGGGCUCAACCCUUGGAUGCCGGUGGAUACUGCAGGGCUAGAGUCCGGAAGAGGCGAGUGGAAUUCCUGGUGUAGCGGUGAAAUGCGCAGAUAUCAGGAGGAACACCGAUGGCGAAGGCAGCUCGCUGGGACGGUACUGGACGCUGAGACGCGAAAGCGUGGGGAGCGAACAGG